UACGUAGGGGGCAAGCGUUGUCCGGAAUCAUUGGGCGUAAAGCGCGCGUAGGUGGCUUCGUAAGUCCGUUGUGAAAGUCAAAGGCUCAACCUUUGAAAGCCGAUGGAUACUGCGGAGCUAGAGUACGGAAGAGGCGAGUGGAAUUCCUGGUGUAGCGGUGGAAUGCGCAGAUAUCAGGAGGAACACCAAUAGCGAAGGCAGCUCGCUGGGACGUUACUGACACUGAGGCGCGAAAGCGUGGGGGAGCGAACAGG
rnacentral:rRNA from 1 species